rnacentral:rRNA from 1 species
GACGAACGCUGGCUGCGUGCUUAACACAUGCAAGUCGAACGCUGAAACCCUGGUGCUUGCACCGGGGUGGAUGAGUGGCGAACGGGUGAGUAACACGUGAGUAACCUGCCCCCGACUUCGGGAUAAGCCCGGGAAACUGGGUCUAAUACCGGAUAUGAGGGUCCCUCGCAUGAGGGAUGCUGGAAAGUUUUUUCGGUUGGGGAUGGGCUCGCGGCCUAUCAGUUUGUUGGUGAGGUAAUGGCUCACCAAGACGACGACGGGUAGCCGGCCUGAGAGGGCGACCGGCCACACUGGGACUGAGACACGGCCCAGACUCCUACGGGAGGCAGCAGUGGGGAAUAUUGCACAAUGGGGGAAACCCUGAUGCAGCGACGCAGCGUGCGGGAUGACGGCCUUCGGGUUGUAAACCGCCUUCAGCAGGGAAGAAGCCCCUCGGGGUGACGGUACCUGCAGAAGAAGUACCGGCUAACUACGUGCCAGCCGCCGCGGUAA